rnacentral:rRNA from 1 species
CACGUAGGCACCAAGCGUUGUCCGGAUUUAUUGGGCGUAAAGAGCUCGUAGGCGGUUCAGUAAGUCAGGUGUGAAAUCUUUGGGCUUAACCCAAAGCGUGCAUUUGAUACUGCUGUGACUUGAGUUCGGUAGGGGAGUGGGGAAUUCCUAGUGUAGCGGUGAAAUGCGCAGAUAUUAGGAGGAACACCGGUGGCGAAGGCGCCACUCUGGGCCGACACUGACACUGAGAGACGAAAGCUAGGGGAGCGAAUGGG